AUGCAGUCGAACGCGUUGGCCCAAUUGAUUGAUGGUGCUUGCACCUGAUUGAUUUUGGUCGCCAACGAGUGGCGGACGGGUGAGUAACACGUAGGUAACCUGCCCAGAAGCGGGGGACAACAUUUGGAAACAGAUGCUAAUACCGCAUAACAGCGUUGUUCGCAUGAACAACGCUUAAAAGAUGGCUUCUCGCUAUCACUUCUGGAUGGACCUGCGGUGCAUUAGCUUGUUGGUGGGGUAACGGCCUACCAAGGCGAUGAUGCAUAGCCGAGUUGAGAGACUGAUCGGCCACAAUGGGACUGAGACACGGCCCAUACUCCUACGGGAGGCAGCAGUAGGGAAUCUUCCACAAUGGGCGCAAGCCUGAUGGAGCAACACCGCGUGAGUGAAGAAGGGUUUCGGCUCGUAAAGCUCUGUUGUUAAAGAAGAACACGUAUGAGAGUAACUGUUCAUACGUUGACGGUAUUUAACCAGAAAGUCACGGCUAACUACGUGCCAGCAGCCGCGGUAAUACGUAGGUGGCAAGCGUUAUCCGGAUUUAUUGGGCGUAAAGAGAGUGCAGGCGGUUUUCUAAGUCUGAUGUGAAAGCCUUCGGCUUAACCGGAGAAGUGCAUCGGAAACUGGAUAACUUGAGUGCAGAAGAGGGUAGUGGAACUCCAUGUGUAGCGGUGGAAUGCGUAGAUAUAUGGAAGAACACCAGUGGCGAAGGCGGCUACCUGGUCUGCAACUGACGCUGAGACUCGAAAGCAUGGGUAGCGAACAGGAUUAGAUACCCUGGUAGUCCAUGCCGUAAACGAUGAGUGCUAGGUGUUGGAGGGUUUCCGCCCUUCAGUGCCGGAGCUAACGCAUUAAGCACUCCGCCUGGGGAGUACGACCGCAAGGUUGAAACUCAAAGGAAUUGACGGGGGCCCGCACAAGCGGUGGAGCAUGUGGUUUAAUUCGAAGCUACGCGAAGAACCUUACCAGGUCUUGACAUCUUGCGCCAACCCUAGAGAUAGGGCGUUUCCUUCGGGAACGCAAUGACAGGUGGUGCAUGGUCGUCGUCAGCUCGUGUCGUGAGAUGUUGGGUUAAGUCCCGCAACGAGCGCAACCCUUGUUACUAGUUGCCAGCAUUAAGUUGGGCACUCUAGUGAGACUGCCGGUGACAAACCGGAGGAAGGUGGGGACGACGUCAGAUCAUCAUGCCCCUUAUGACCUGGGCUACACACGUGCUACAAUGGACGGUACAACGAGUCGCGAACUCGCGAGGGCAAGCAAAUCUCUUAAAACCGUUCUCAGUUCGGACUGCAGGCUGCAACUCGCCUGCACGAAGUCGGAAUCGCUAGUAAUCGCGGAUCAGCAUGCCGCGGUGAAUACGUUCCCGGGCCUUGUACACACCGCCCGUCACACCAUGAGAGUUUGUAACACCCAAAGUCGGUGGGGUAACCUUUUAGGAGCCAGC
rnacentral:rRNA from 1 species